UACCUUCGAGUGCCUUUGCUUUUGGUUUUUCCUCCACCAAAUUUGCAGUUGCAUUAACUUAUAUAAUGCUGCAUUGUUGACUUGUCUUAAAUAAUGAAUCAUAAAAAAAGCUUAUUACAUUAUUAUUAUUGUUAUUGUUAUUUAACUUGAGACUCAUAGCAUUAAAUAACUUUCUAUUUCCUUUAUAUAUCUUUUAUUUUAUAUUUUAUACUGUAUUUUAUAUUUUAUUUUAGAAACUCUCUCAUAAAUAGCAUUGACUAGGUAUGAAUGGGUCUUAGAAUAUGAUGAUCUUGUUCUCUUACCAGUUUGACCUUCUUGCUGAUCUAGUUUUAAUGUAAUCCAAUGCUUCAGAGUUUCUGAAACAAUAUAGUCACUUAGCACUAUCUGUCAUUAUUGAUCUCUCCAUUCUCUAUAAUGUUUGAUAUAAAACAAUAUGUCUAUAAUGGUUAUUUUUUUAAUCAUGAUAACUUGAAUAUGUGGAGCUUGACCGACUUGUGUAAUCAAGCCUAAAUAAAUGAUUUAUGCAUAGAGUUAUGGUGAGUUUAACAAACAAAAACUCUUUACUUUGUUUUUUCUCCCUUCAGAAUUUUGAUAGGUAUAUUUUCUGUACCCCCGUUCCUUGGGUGGUCAUCAGAUGUUAAGAGAGGAAGGGAAUUCAACUAGGAAGCACGGAUACGUGAUACAGAUAUGAUAUGAUAUGGAUACGGCGAUACGACAAAAUUUGAAAAAUUAGGAUAUGGGUACGGCGGGGAUACGUUUGUAAAAAAUAUUAUUUUUAUAAUUUUUAGUAAUGUAGUAUGUAUAAAAAUAAAACCUAAAGUAAAAGAUUAUACUUUUUUCCAUGAUUUUAUUACCAAUUCGUUAAAUAUCUUCCUCCAUUCAAGAUUAUACUUUUUUCCUCCCUGUUAAAUUCAUCCAAUUUGCCAAUAAAUAAAUAAAUAAAAUUCACAUUCACAGAUAUGUUUUCUGCAACAAUUUUUGACUUUUAACCUGAAGCAUAAAACAUGUUGUGAAAAGCACAUCCUAACAACUGCUCAAUUGAAUUUCCAGUUUUCCCCUUUCUACUGACAAAGGGAGACACAGAUAACAUAUUCCUUUCAAUUUCAUAUUUUUCUGACUAACCAACCAGAGAUGGCUAAUACCAAACUUUUAAAAGAAAAUGGGAAUUAUAAUUUUACAAUAAAAUAUAGCAAAUUAAGCUAAAAGUACUAACCGCCAAAUAGACAAAACCCUAUGCCCUAAUUGCAUACCCAUCUCCCAUGAUCUGAGUAAGAAAAAAGGGGUUAGUACAGUGAGAGGGAGAGAGAGUGAGAUUAAGUGAGAUGAAGAGAUAGAGAGUGAGCGAGAUUGAGCGAGAGGAAGAGAGAGAUCGAGGGAGAGGGAGAGAGAGAGAGUGAGAUUGAGUGAGAGAGAGGGACUGAGAUUGAGUGACACUGACAGAAAAGUGGGAGAGUGAGAGUGAGCAAGCAAGAGAGAGCAAGAGAGAAUGAGAGAGAGUGAGAGCGAGAAAGGACGAACCUUGGUCGACGUCGACGACGACGACUCAGAGUUGCUGCUGUUCGCGAAUUGCUAUAGAGACGACGACGUUGUUGCUGCUGUUCGAGUUGUUGUUGCUGUUCGAGUUUGAGAGUGAGAGGAACUAGGGUUUGUUUGUUUGAUUUUUUUGUUUUAUUUUAGAUUGUUUUUGUUAAUUUACAUUUUGACCCCAUUACAAACACGGCUGCACGACAAUUUAAAAAAAUACAAGACACGACACUUCGAGGACACACACAAAAUAUGUAGUUUUAUAUUUUAUUAUAUAUCAUAUAUAUAAAUAAAUCAUUCAAAGAUAAUAAAAAAUAUAACAUGAUACUAUUUUUUUCAAUUUACUCUUUUUGUUUUCUAUUUGCGAUAAUCUAACCUUUUCAAUUAAUAUUCUGCAAUCAAUCUAGUAAUAAAAAAAAGGAUUUAGUUUUUUGAAAUUAAAGAAUUGAAAUUGAGUCGAAAUUAAACAUUUUAUGAAUAAUUUGAUCUAAUAGAAAUUAGUUUAUGAAAUUUAACUUUUUGGAAUAAACUUUAAUAUUUCCAUAUACGUUAUUUUUUAUUAGUGGUGGAAAUGUUUUGAAAUACAAGUUAACAUAACACGAAUCCCAAAUGACAUGACACAAUAACACGAAAAAACAAACAGGUUGAGUUAGUGUUGAAAGAAUUCUGACUUGAACACGAGAUAGCACGACACAAAAAUGAGCAACACGUCACGACCAUGGUUGUCAAGAUCGCGAUCCAGAUCGUACGAUCCUACGAUCCAAUAUACACCAUUUGAUCCGACUUAUGCUUUGGAUCGACCCCAGAUCAGGAUCGUGGUAGGAUCAUGGAAGGAUUGUUGGGAUCGUAUCUGGAUCGUGACUCCAUGCAUUCUAGAUUUGAAGGGUUUUUUGGCGACUUAAAAGCAAAGAACCUUUUGU